rnacentral:rRNA from 1 species
GUGGUAAUGCCGGAUGCUCCAGUUGAUCGCAUGGUCUUCUGGGAAAGCCUUUGCGGCAUGGGAUGGGGUCGCGUCCUAUCAGCUUGAUGGCGGGGUAACGGCCCACCAUGGCUUCGACGGGUAGCCGGCCUGAGAGGGCGACCGGCCACAUUGGGACUGAGAUACGGCCCAGACUCCUACGGGAGGCAGCAGUGGGGAAUAUUGCACAAUGGGCGCAAGCCUGAUGCAGCGACGCCGCGUGAGGGAUGGAGGCCUUCGGGUUGUAAACCUCUUUUGUUAGGGAGCAAGGCAUUUUGUGUUGAGUGUACCUUUCGAAUAAGCACCGGCUAACUACGUGCCAGCAGCCGCGGUAAUACGUAGGGUGCAAGCGUUAUCCGGAAUUAUUGGGCGUAAAGGGCUCGUAGGCGGUUCGUCGCGUCCGGUGUGAAAGUCCAUCGCUUAACGGUGGAUCCGCGCCGGGUACGGGCGGGCUUGAGUGCGGUAGGGGAGACUGGAAUUCCCGGUGUAACGGUGGAAUGUGUAGAUAUCGGAAAAGAACA